rnacentral:lncRNA from 1 species
GCAGGCCAGCCCCUAGAGAAGGCUUCCUUACCUGAGAUUUUCCCUUCUGACACUCUCACUGUUUGAGUCUUGCUCUGUUUUCAUUCUUUUUUCUUAGAAACUGUUUAUUUUCCAUCAACCUUACUUCCAUUUUCUGUUGAACAGUCUGUGGAAGGACAGACUAAGACCAUUCAGUGGUUGUACCCACCCGUUUGGUGGCCUGAGCAGUGGCAGUUGCAGACCAAUCAGACUCAGUAGGGAACUGCUGAACAGGCUCAGGGGACACCUGCACCUUCCGACCAGCCGGCGACCUCUGGUUGGGUAGCAGUAAAUUCGGGAGUUGGAGCAGUCCAUUCACCCUGAAAUUCCUCUUGGCCACAGCCAUUUCAGCCGCGGCCUGCUCUUCCUUUUCAAUCUCUUCAGGAUCUCUGAGAAGUAGAGACGAGACGCGACUUCCAAGGGAGUUCAUGGGAUGGCGCCACGCAUGCGCAGAAUUUCCCGGACCACCAUCCAUCAUCUCAGUCCCGCUCAGUGAGCUCCCUGUGGUUGCACGGGAUGACACUGUCCACAUGGCAGAGGAGGGUCUGUGUUAUAUAACAAUGGUUGGCAGGUUAACGUAGGACGCCUCUGUGAGAGGCUGGUGGUCGGCCCUGGGAUCAGUAACCAGCGGAGGUUGGGGCUGCAGGAAGGCCCCCUGGAACUGGUGAGUGAAGUGGCCUCCAAAGGAGUGGUCUACCUGCAGCAGCAAACUUCAGCACAGCUCAUUGGCCGGUAUUCCUGAAGGAAAUGACUUGGACAUCAGCCGGGUUUUCAGUGGCAACAAUGGCGCAAGCUGCUUGCAGAAGCUUUUCCCAGGUUCUCUUCAGAUUAAUGUAGAGGCCAUCACUUUUCCUUUUGAGGAUGUACUGUUCCAUUUGGAAGUCAAGGUUGAUGCCACCUAAGUGAAUUCCUGCUGCAAGGAAUUUGAGAAAAUCCUCCUUCCUCAUUUGCAGGACAUCAAGGGCUCUGGACAUUGUGAAAGUUUCCCUUUAAGUUAGUGCGGGAACCCAGAACAGUGCAGACGGACCCCUCUAUGGGUAGCGCAGAAAGACCUUGCUCUGUUUUUCAUAACACCUCUUGGUUUUCACAGGACAUCUCUCCAACUGAUUGAAGACUUAGACUGUACUUAUUCUUGUCUUCUUUGGCCCAGGACCCUCAACCACGCUCUGUGGGGUGGUUGACUCCUCACAGUCCCAGCUGCUUUCCUGUGGAUGCACCCCACUGGCCGAUACGUCUUGUAAAGUGUGGCUUCCACAACUGGACACGAGAUUCCAGAUGACUUAUUAGAAAAGGUUGACAGAGAAGAAAAGGAGGUCUAUGGACAUAUGCAUUGACAAAUGAGGCCCCUCUGCAAAUGAAGCUUCCUGAAACUUGUAUCAGAUUGGAGCCUGCCCAGUGCCAUCUACUGCUGAUGUUCUGACCGCGUAGCCAGCAACAACACAGUUGACUUUAAUGAAAACAGAAUGUGGAGACCGAACACAAGUCUGCAUCCAAAUGCCGCCAGAUAUCUGGAGGGAAAUUGAAAAAUUCAUGCAACCAUGAGAAUGUUUUAAAUUAUCAGAUGUUAGCUUGGAAGCUGCAUGUUGAAGAUGGCAGAGCCAUGGGCAGCCUGGGUUCCUCAGUGACGACCUAGAGUCCAGCACCCAUCCACUCUACCCUCCUCCUGCCUGGACCUGCAUUGGAUGAUUACAUGAUCAAGAAAUAAGCUUCUGCAGUGUUAAUCCACUAAAACUUUGGGAUUGGUGUGUCCCAGAUGUUGGUCUACCUUACAUAAUACAGUACCUAUAAAGAAGGAAUGGGAGUGGGAGCAUGGGGGAUGUAGUUUGGAGCCGGUUUGCCCCAGGAGCUUU